rnacentral:tRNA from 1 species
AGUAGGGUGGCUGAGAUUUAAGCGAUAAAUUGUAAAUUUAUUUACGGAAUUGUUUCCUCUUACUA